rnacentral:rRNA from 1 species
UCGAGGGGUAUUGGUUUUCGGACCAAGAGACCGGCGCACGGGUGCGUAACGCGUAUGCAAUCUACCUUUUGCAGAGGGAUAGCCCAGAGAAAUUUGGAUUAAUACCUCAUAGUAUAGUACCUUGGCAUCAAGGAACUAUUAAAGUCACAACGGCAAAAGAUGAGCAUGCGUCCCAUUAGCUAGUUGGUAAGGUAACGGCUUACCAAGGCGACGAUGGGUAGGGGUCCUGAGAGGGAGAUCCCCCACACUGGUACUGAGACACGGACCAGACUCCUACGGGAGGCAGCAGUGAGGAAUAUUGGACAAUGGGCGCAAGCCUGAUCCAGCCAUGCCGCGUGCAGGAUGACGGUCCUAUGGAUUGUAAACUGCUUUUAUACAGGAAGAAACACUGGUUCGUGAACCAGCUUGACGGUACUGUAAGAAUAAGGAUCGGCUAACUCCGUGCCAGCAGCCGCGGUAAUACGGAGGAUCCAAGCGUUAUCCGGAAUCAUUGGGUUUAAAGGGUCCGUAGGCGGUUUGGUAAGUCAGUGGUGAAAGCCCAUCGCUCAACGGUGGAACGGCCAUUGAUACUGCCAGACUUGAAUUACUGGGAAGUAACUAGAAUAUGUAGUGUAGCGGUGAAAUGCUUAGAGAUUACAUGGAAUACCAAUUGCGAAGGCAGGUUACUACCAGUGGAUUGACGCUGAUGGACGAAAGCGUG